UGUGUGUUAGUGGAAGCGUCUGGAAAGGCGCGCGAUACAGGGUGACAGCCCCGUACACAAAAAUGCACAUGCUGUGAGCUCGAUGAGUAGGGCGGGACACGUGGUAUCCUGUCUGAAUAUGGGGGGACCAUCCUCCAAGGCUAAAUACUCCUGACUGACCGAUAGUGAACCAGUACCGUGAGGGAAAGGCGAAAAGAACCCCGGCGAGGGGAGUGAAAAAGAACCUGAAACCGUGUACGUACAAGCAGUGGGAGCACGCUUAGGCGUGUGACUGCGUACCUUUUGUAUAAUGGGUCAGCGACUUAUAUUCUGUAGCAAGGUUAACCGAAUAGGGGAGCCGAAGGGAAACCGAGUCUUAACUGGGCGUUAAGUUGCAGGGUAUAGACCCGAAACCCGGUGAUCUAGCCAUGGGCAGGUUGAAGGUUGGGUAACACUAACUGGAGGACCGAACCGACUAAUGUUGAAAAAUUAGCGGAUGACUUGUGGCUGGGGGUGAAAGGCCAAUCAAACCGGGAGAUAGCUGGUUCUCCCCGAAAGCUAUUUAGGUAGCGCCUCGUGAAUUCAUCUCCGGGGGUAGAGCACUGUUUCGGCAAGGGGGUCAUCCCGACUUACCAACCCGAUGCAAACUGCGAAUACCGGAGAAUGUUAUCACGGGAGACACACGGCGGGUGCUAACGUCCGUCGUGAAGAGGGAAACAACCCAGACCGCCAGCUAAGGUCCCAAAGUCAUGGUUAAGUGGGAAACGAUGUGGGAAGGCCCAGACAGCCAGGAUGUUGGCUUAGAAGCAGCCAUCAUUUAAAGAAAGCGUAAUAGCUCACUGGUCGAGUCGGCCUGCGCGGAAGAUGUAACGGGGCUAAACCAUGCACCGAAGCUGCGGCAGCGACGCUGAUGCGUUGUUGGGUAGGGGAGCGUUCUGUAAGCCUGUGAAGGUGUACUGUGAGGUAUGCUGGAGGUAUCAGAAGUGCGAAUGCUGACAUAAGUAACGAUAAAGCGGGUGAAAAGCCCGCUCGCCGGAAGACCAAGGGUUCCUGUCCAACGUUAAUCGGGGCAGGGUGAGUCGACCCCUAAGGCGAGGCCGAAAGGCGUAGUCGAUGGGAAACAGGUUAAUAUUCCUGUACUUGGUGUUACUGCGAAGGGGGGACGGAGAAGGCUAUGUUGGCCGGGCGACGGUUGUCCCGGUUUAAGCGUGUAGGCUGGUUUUCCAGGCAAAUCCGGAAAAUCAAGGCUGAGGCGUGAUGACGAGGCACUACGGUGCUGAAGCAACAAAUGCCCUGCUUCCAGGAAAAGCCUCUAAGCAUCAGGUAACAUCAAAUCGUACCCCAAACCGACACAGGUGGUCAGGUAGAGAAUACCAAGGCGCUUGAGAGAACUCGGGUGAAGGAACUAGGCAAAAUGGUGCCGUAACUUCGGGAGAAGGCACGCUGAUAUGUAGGUGAAGUCCCUUGCGGAUGGAGCUGAAAUCAGUCGAAGAUACCAGCUGGCUGCAACUGUUUAUUAAAAACACAGCACUGUGCAAACACGAAAGUGGACGUAUACGGUGUGACGCCUGCCCGGUGCCGGAAGGUUAAUUGAUGGGGUCAGCGCAAGCGAAGCUCUUGAUCGAAGCCCCGGUAAACGGCGGCCGUAACUAUAACGGUCCUAAGGUAGCGAAAUUCCUUGUCGGGUAAGUUCCGACCUGCACGAAUGGCGUAAUGAUGGCCAGGCUGUCUCCACCCGAGACUCAGUGAAAUUGAACUCGCUGUGAAGAUGCAGUGUACCCGCGGCAAGACGGAAAGACCCCGUGAACCUUUACUAUAGCUUGACACUGAACAUUGAGCCUUGAUGUGUAGGAUAGGUGGGAGGCUUUGAAGUGUGGACGCCAGUCUGCAUGGAGCCGACCUUGAAAUACCACCCUUUAAUGUUUGAUGUUCUAACGUUGACCCGUAAUCCGGGUUGCGGACAGUGUCUGGUGGGUAGUUUGACUGGGGCGGUCUCCUCCUAAAGAGUAACGGAGGAGCACGAAGGUUGGCUAAUCCUGGUCGGACAUCAGGAGGUUAGUGCAAUGGCAUAAGCCAGCUUGACUGCGAGCGUGACGGCGCGAGCAGGUGCGAAAGCAGGUCAUAGUGAUCCGGUGGUUCUGAAUGGAAGGGCCAUCGCUCAACGGAUAAAAGGUACUCCGGGGAUAACAGGCUGAUACCGCCCAAGAGUUCAUAUCGACGGCGGUGUUUGGCACCUCGAUGUCGGCUCAUCACAUCCUGGGGCUGAAGUAGGUCCCAAGGGUAUGGCUGUUCGCCAUUUAAAGUGGUACGCGAGCUGGGUUUAGAACGUCGUGAGACAGUUCGGUCCCUAUCUGCCGUGGGCGCUGGAGAACUGAGGGGGGCUGCUCCUAGUACGAGAGGACCGGAGUGGACGCAUCACUGGUGUUCGGGUUGUCAUGCCAAUGGCACUGCCCGGUAGCUAAAUGCGGAAGAGAUAAGUGCUGAAAGCAUCUAAGCACGAAACUUGCC
rnacentral:rRNA from 1 species